rnacentral:rRNA from 1 species
UGGCAGACGGGUGAGGAACACGUGGGAAUCUACCCUUCGUUCGGAAUAACAGGGCGAAAGUCCUGCUAAUACCGGAUACGGUCGCGAGACGAAAGUGGCAACGCGCGGAGAGCGGAGCCUGCGGCGGAUUAGGCAGUUGGUGGGGUAACGGCCUACCAAACCGAUGAUCCGUAGCUGGUCUGAGAGGAUGAUCAGCCACACUGGGACUGAGACACGGCCCAG